GCUACCUCAUGUCUAGUAUUAAAGCAAGAAAUAUCUGAGGAGCUCCAAACUUCUUCUGUUUUGGCUUGAAGAAUUCAAAUUACUAAAAAGAGAAAUUUUGAGAAGGCCUGAACCAACUUCUGUAUGGAAGAAACUUAAGAGCUCACAAAACGAACAAGAGCUAUAUAUCACAAAUAAAGAGAAUUGAGUGAUCCCUCAACAUUCUGGCAAAUGUUACCUGUCAAAAGAAUCCUAAAGAAUAAUUUAGCAGGGAAAAUGGAAAGAUUCUGAGACUCAG
rnacentral:lncRNA from 1 species